rnacentral:ncRNA from 1 species
UAAUAAAAUUAUUUAUGGUUUAAAAAUUUAUUAUAAAUUUAUUUUACAUAUAAAUUUUAGUGUUAAUUUUUAAUUUAUUUAAAUAAUAAUUAAUAUUUAUUUGUAGUAAUUAGAAUUAAAAAUUUAAGUAAUUAAGAUUUAGUAAUAUUUAAAUUAAUAACAAAUUUUGUGCCAGCAGUUGCGGUUAUACAAAAAUUAAAUUAAAUUUUUUUAGGGAUUAAUUAAUAAUAGAUUAUAUAAUAAAAUUAAAAUUUAAAUUAUUAAGUGAAAUUUUAAUUUAUGAAAAUUUUAUAUUGAAUUAUGAAUUAAAAAAUUUUAUUAAAAACUAGGAUUAGAUACCCUAUUAUUAAAAAUUUAAAUUAAUAAUACUAAAAUAGUAUAUAAUUAUUUAUAAAAACUUAAAUAAUUUGGCGGUAUUUUAGUUUAUUUAGAGGAAUCUGUUUAUUAAUUGAUAUUCCACGAAUAAAUUUACUUAAUUUAUUUAAUUUUGUAUAUCGUUGUUAAAAAAAUAUUUUAAAAUAAUAAUAAUAUUUUAAUUUUUAUAUUAAAAGUUAAAUCAGAUCAAGAUGCAGAUUAUAAUUAAGAAUAUAAUGGAUUACAAUAAAUUUAUUUAAUUGGAUGUUAUUUUUAAAAAUUAAUUGAAAUUGGAUUUAAAUGUAAUUUUAUUUAAUUUAUUAAAAUGAUUUUAAUUUAAAAUAUGUACAUAUUGCCCGUCGCUUUCAUUAAUAAAUUGAAAUAAGUCGUAACAAAGUAGAGGUACUGGAAAGUGUUUCUAGAAAGAGUA